GACGAACGCUUGCGGCGUGCUUAACACAUGCAAGUCGAACGGAAAGGCCCUGCUUUUGUGGGGUGCUCGAGUGGCGAACGGGUGAGUAACACGUGAGUAACCUGCCCUUGACUUUGGGAUAACUUCAGGAAACUGGGGCUAAUACCGGAUAGGAGCUCCUGCUGCAUGGUGGGGGUUGGAAAGUUUCGGCGGUUGGGGAUGGACUCGCGGCUUAUCAGCUUGUUGGUGGGGUAGUGGCUUACCAAGGCUUUGACGGGUAGCCGGCCUGAGAGGGUGACCGGCCACAUUGGGACUGAGAUACGGCCCAGACUCCUACGGGAGGCAGCAGUGGGGAAUAUUGCACAAUGGGCGGAAGCCUGAUGCAGCAACGCCGCGUGCGGGAUGACGGCCUUCGGGUUGUAAACCGCUUUCGCCUAUGACGAAGCGUGAGUGACGGUAAUGGGUAAAGAAGCACCGGCUAACUACGUGCCAGCAGCCGCGGUGAUACGUAGGGUGCGAGCGUUGUCCGGAUUUAUUGGGCGUAAAGGGCUCGUAGGUGGUUGAUCGCGUCGGAAGUGUAAUCUUGGGGCUUAACCCUGAGCGUGCUUUCGAUACGGGUUGACUUGAGGAAGGUAGGGGAGAAUGGAAUUCCUGGUGGAGCGGUGGAAUGCGCAGAUAUCAGGAGGAACACCAGUGGCGAAGGCGGUUCUCUGGGCCUUUCCUGACGCUGAGGAGCGAAAGCGUGGGGAGCGAACAGGCUUAGAUACCCUGGUAGUCCACGCUGUAAACGGUGGGUACUAGGCGUGGGGUCCAUUCCACGGGUUCCGUGCCGUAGCUAACGCUUUAAGUACCCCGCCUGGGGAGUACGGCCGCAAGGCUAAAACUCAAAGGAAUUGACGGGGCCCCGCACAAGCGGCGGAGCAUGCGGAUUAAUUCGAUGCAACGCGUAGAACCUUACCUGGGUUUGACAUGGAUCGGGAGUGCUCAGAGAUGGGUGUGCCUCUUUUGGGGUCGGUUCACAGGUGGUGCAUGGCUGUCGUCAGCUCGUGUCGUGAGAUGUUGGGUUAAGUCCCGCAACGAGCGCAACCCUUGUUCACUGUUGCCAGCACGUUAUGGUGGGGACUCAGUGGAGACCGCCGGGGUCAACUCGGAGGAAGGUGGGGAUGACGUCAAGUCAUCAUGCCCCUUAUGUCCAGGGCUUCACGCAUGCUACAAUGGCUGGUACAGAGAGUGGCGAGCCUGUGAGGGUGAGCGAAUCUCGGAAAGCCGGUCUCAGUUCGGAUUGGGGUCUGCAACUCGACCUCAUGAAGUCGGAGUCGCUAGUAAUCGCAGAUCAGCAACGCUGCGGUGAAUACGUUCCCGGG
rnacentral:rRNA from 1 species